GAGGGUAGAGCUCAGUGGUAGAGCACAUGCUUAGCAUGCACGUGGUCCUGGGUUCCAGCUCCAGUGCCUCCA
rnacentral:tRNA from 1 species